rnacentral:rRNA from 1 species
GUCUACCACCAUACCACUCUGAACAUGCCCAAUCUCAUCUGAUCUCAGAGGCUAAGCAGAGUCAGGCCUGGUUAGUAUAAUACUGGGAUGGGAGAAA